AUGGUUUAACUUUUCACCGGUUCCUGCUCGGAGGCAGAACCUCCAAACAUCUGAGAUAACAAACAGUCGUCGGCUCGCUUGGCUGUAAGACGACCAAAUAUAACCUUCCACAUUAUCCCGAUGUCGAUGAGAGUCUGCUCCCUGCAUUUUCAUUCUGGAAAACCAGCAAAUGAAAUGUACAGCUCCCACCCAGACUGAGCCCCAUCUCUCAACCUGGGCCACACUAAGAUAAAUGUCACAUCGACUGCACGCUAUGAGAGAAGGGAAGGAGAAAACGGUGGAGGACUGACAGUACACCUGCGAUGGAUGACACAGUUAUGGAUGACCUUCUUCCAGCAGUGGAGACACCAGCACCAGUAGACGAUGGAGCUGACCAGAGACCGCUGACAGAAUGUGACUUCUGUCAUCGUCGGCAGGAUGAAAUCAAGCGGCUGCUGGAAGAGAACAGGGCCCUGAAACGGGAGCUCGGUCAGAGGAAAAUGGGUGAACAUUUCCUGAAGGAUGACAUCAACAAA